UACAGAGGGUGCGAGCGUUAAUCGGAAUUACUGGGCGUAAAGCGCGCGUAGGCGGCUUGUUAAGUCGGAUGUGAAAUCCCUGGGCUCAACCUAGGCAUUGCAUUCGAUACUGGCAAGCUAGAGUAUGGGAGAGGAAGGUAGAAUUCCAGGUGUAGCGGUGAAAUGCGUAGAGAUCUGGAGGAAUACCGAUGGCGAAGGCAGCCUUCUGGCCUAAUACUGACGCUGAGGUGCGAAAGCAUGGGGAGCAAGCAGG
rnacentral:rRNA from 1 species